rnacentral:rRNA from 1 species
UACGGGGGGGCAAGCGUUGUUCGGAAUUACUGGGCGUAAAGGGCUCGUAGGCGGCCAACUAAGUCAGACGUGAAAUCCCUCAGCUUAACUGGGGAACUGCGUCUGAUACUGGAUGGCUUGAGAUUGGGAGAGGGAUGCGGAAUUCCAGGUGUAGCGGUGAAAUGCGUAGAUAUCUGGAGGAACACCGGUGGCGAAGGCGGCAUCCUGGACCAACACUGACGCUGAGUGAGCGAAAGCCAGGGGAGCAAACGGG